rnacentral:rRNA from 1 species
UACGAAGGGGGCUAGCGUUGUUCGGAAUCACCGGGCGUAAAGGGCGCGUAGGCGGCCGAUCAAGUCGGGGGUGAAAGCCUGUGGCUUAACCACAGAAUGGCCUUCGAUACUGUUUGGCUUGAGACCGGAAGAGGUUAGUGGAACUGCGAGUGUAGAGGUGAAAUUCGUAGAUAUUCGCAAGAACACCAGUGGCGAAGGCGGCUCACUGGCCCGGUACUGACGCUGAGGUGCGAAAGCGUGGGGAGCAAACAGG